CGGCGCGAACAAGCCUUAUCCUCGGCAGCUUCGUUUCUAUCCAACGAAAAUCUCACCCGCUCCCCUUCUCCCCACCACCAGCGCGCCAUCAAAGGAACUCGCCGCGCCAUUCCUCCACCUCCCCUCAACUCUGGAUACUGUUGCUCAUCAAUUCUGGACUCCACAUGAAGAGAAAAGGGACAAGGCCAAGGGUAAUGUACCUAUGGCUCCUUCCCGAAAGGCAAGGCCAAUGGCGGAACUCCUUGGUCGCAUUGCUAGCUUCCUUGUUCAGUUCCAGAAGGCCAUCAUCACUGUCUGCACUGUCAAUGCAAUAAAUGUUGCUAUCAUGGAGUCAUGUCAUACAACGAGGGUCAACCAGCAUAAGGCUCGUCUUCGUGCCUGAGGUGGGAGACCUAUCGAUGAUGAUCCUAUCCCUCUAGCUCCUCCGAUCCCUGAGUUUGGCUUCCCGACUGAGACCGACAUCUUCUCACAGGGGGUCCCCGACGAUGACAACAUCGAUGAGGAGUGAUCAUUUGGGUCUCAUUAGUUUCCUUCACCCUUUUUGGUACUUGUUGUCAAAGGGGGAGAAGUGGUAUGUUAGGCCUCGCGGGUGCUCACAUAGUGUCAAGAUUUCUUCCUAUGAAGAACAUCGACGAGACCAAUAUGAUUUGCUCAUAUUUUCCCAUCAUCUACUUCUUGGAGAUGCCAGUGAAGAAAGGAUGAUGUAUUACUUUACCUGGAGUUAUUGGAUGAGUUGUUUUGGCACACUAGUUUUGUUUUGGCACACUAGUUUAUGAAGUGAUUGGUGGUGUCU